rnacentral:rRNA from 1 species
UAGAGUUUGAUCCAUGGCUCAGAUUGAACGCUGGCGGCAUGCCUUACACAUGCAAGUCGAACGGCAGCACGGGGGCAACCCUGGUGGCGAGUGGCGAACGGGUGAGUAACGCAUCGGAAUGUACCCAGUAGUGGGGGAUAACUAGUCGAAAGACUGGCUAAUACCGCAUACGCACUACGGUGGAAAGCGGGGGAUCGCAAGACCUCGCGCUAUUGGAGCAGCCGAUGUCCGAUUAGGUAGUUGGUGGGGUAAUGGCCUACCAAGCCGACGAUCGGUAGCUGGUCUGAGAGGACGACCAGUCACACUGGGACUGAGACACGGCCCAGACUCCUACGGGAGGCAGCAGUGGGGAAUUUUGGACAAUGGGGGCAACCCUGAUCCAGCAAUGCCGCGUGUGUGAAGAAGGCCUUCGGGUUGUAAAGCACUUUUGGCGGGAACGAAACAGCGCUUGCUAAUACCAGGCGCGAAUGACGGUACCCGCAGAAUAAGCACCGC